CAAGUACUCCCUCCAUCCCAAAAUACUGGUCAUCAAAAUGGAUAAAAAGGGAUGUAUUUAGAACUAAAAUACGUCUACAUACAUCUCGUUUUAUCCAUUUUGAUGACAAGUAUUUCCGGACGGAGGGAGUAUUUG
rnacentral:pre_miRNA from 1 species